rnacentral:rRNA from 1 species
UACGUAGGGGGCUAGCGUUGUCCGGAAUCAUUGGGCGUAAAGCGCGCGUAGGCGGCCCGGUAAGUUCGCUGUGAAAGUCAAAGGCUCAACCUUUGAAUGUCAGCGGAUACUGCCGGGCUAGAGUCCGGAGGAGGAGAAUGGAAUUCCUGGUGUAGCGGUGAAAUGCGCAGAUAUCAGGAAGAACACCCGUGGCGAAGGCGGUUCUCUGGGACGGUACUGACGCUGAGACGCGAAAGCGUGGGGAGCGAACAGG